rnacentral:rRNA from 1 species
AGCAGCCGCGGUAAUUCCAGCUCCAAUAGCGUAUAUUAAAGUUGUUGCAGUUAAAAAGCUCGUAGUUGAAUUUUAGGCCUGGCCGGGCGGUCCGUCUUUGGCGAGUACUGUCUGUUGUCGGGUCUCCCUUCUGGUGAACCAAUAUGUCCUUUAUUGGGUGUGCUGGGGAGCCAGGACCAUUACCUUGAAAAAAUUAGAGUGUUUAAAGCAGGCUUUUGCUUGAAUAGAUUAGCAUGGAAUAAUAGAAUAGGACGUUGUGGUUCUAUUUUGUUGGUUUCUAGGACCACCGUAAUGAUUAAUAGGGAUAGUUGGGGGCAUUAGUAUUCAAUUGUCAGAGGUGAAAUUCUUGGAUUUAUUGAAGACUAACUAUUGCGAAAGCAUUUGCCAAGGAUGUUUUCAUUAAUCAAGAACGAAAGUUAGGGGAUCGAAGACGAUCAGAUACCGUCGUAGUCUUAACCAUAAACUAUGCCGACUAGGAAUCGGGCGACGUUAUUUUAAUGACUCGCUCGGCGCCUUAUGG